UUGACGGUACCUAACCAGAAAGCCACGGCUAACUACGUGCCAGCAGCCUGCGGUAAUACGUAGGUGGCAAGCGUUGUCCGGAAUUAUUGUGCGUAAAGCGCGCGCAGGCGGUCCUUUAAGUCUGAUGUGAAAGCCCACGGCUCAACCGUGGAGGGUCAUUGGAAAUCUGGGGGACUUGAGUGCAGAAGAGGAAAGCGGAAUUCCACGUGUAGCGGUGAAAUGCGUAGAGAUGUGGAGGAACACCAGUGGCGAAGGCGGCUUUCUGGUCUGUAACUGACGNUGAGGCGCGAAAGCGUGGGGAGCAAACAGGAUUAGAUACCCUGGUAGUCCACUCCGUAAACGAUGAGUGCUAAGUNUUAGGGGGUUUCCGCCCCCUUAGUGGUGCAGCUCUACGCAUUAAGCACUCCUCC
rnacentral:rRNA from 1 species